GCUGGGUAGCUAUGUAGGGAAGGGAUAAACGCUGAAAGCAUCUAAGUGUGAAACCCACCUCAAGAUGAGAUUUCCCAUGAUUAUAUAUCAGUAAGAGCCCUGAGAGAUGAUCAGGUAGAUAGGUUAGAAGUGGAAGUGUGGCGACACAUGUAGCGGACUAAUACUAAUAGCUCGAGGACUUAUCCAAA
rnacentral:rRNA from 1 species